rnacentral:rRNA from 1 species
UUAAGCGACUAAGCGUACACGGUGGAUGCCCUGGCAGUCAGAGGCGAUGAAGGGCGUGCUAAUCUGCGAUAAGCGCCGGUAAGGUGAUAUGAACCGUUAUAACCGGCGAUACCCGAAUGGGGAAACCCAGUGUGACUCGUCACACUAUCAUUAACUGAAUCCAUAGGUUAAUGAGGCGAACCGGGGGAACUGAAACAUCUAAGUACCCCGAGGAAAAGAAAUCAACCGAGAUUCCCCCAGUAGCGGCGAGCGAACGGGGAGGAGCCCAGAGCCUGAAUCAGCAUGUGUGUUAGUGGAAGCGUCUGGAAAGGCGCGCGAUACAGGGUGACAGCCCCGUACACAAAAGCGCAUGUGCUGUGAGCUCGAUGAGUAGGGCGGGACACGUGGUAUCCUGUCUGAAUAUGGGGGGACCAUCCUCCAAGGCUAAAUACUCCUGACUGACCGAUAGUGAACCAGUACCGUGAGGGAAAGGCGAAAAGAACCCCGGCGAGGGGAGUGAAAAAGAACCUGAAACCGUGUACGUACAAGCAGUGGNNNNNGUGACUGCGUACCUUUUGUAUAAUGGGUCAGCGACUUAUAUUCUGUAGCAAGGUUAACCGAAUAGGGGAGCCGGAGGGAAACCGAGUCUUAACCGGGCGUUAAGUUGCAGGGUAUAGACCCGAAACCCGGUGAUCUAGCCAUGGGCAGGUUGAAGGUUGGGUAACACUAACUGGAGGACCGAACCGACUAAUGUUGAAAAAUUAGCGGAUGACCUGUGGCUGGGGGUGAAAGGCCAAUCAAACCGGGAGAUAGCUGGUUCUCCCCGAAAGCUAUUUAGGUAGCGCCUCGUGAAUUCAUCUCCGGGGGUAGAGCACUGUUUCGGCUAGGGGGCCAUCCCGGCUUACCAACCCGAUGCAAACUGCGAAUACCGGAGAAUGUUAUCACGGGAGACACACGGCGGGUGCUAACGUCCGUCGUGAAGAGGGAAACAACCCAGACCGCCAGCUAAGGUCCCAAAGUCAUGGUUAAGUGGGAAACGAUGUGGGAAGGCCCAGACAGCCAGGAUGUUGGCUUAGAAGCAGCCAUCAUUUAAAGAAAGCGUAAUAGCUCACUGGUCGAGUCGGCCUGCGCGGAAGAUGUAACGGGGCUAAACCAUGCACCGAAGCUGCGGCAGCGACGCUUAUGCGUUGUUGGGUAGGGGAGCGUUCUGUAAGCCUGUGAAGGUGGCCUGUGAGGGUUGCUGGAGGUAUCAGAAGUGCGAAUGCUGACAUAAGUAACGAUAAAGCGGGUGAAAAGCCCGCUCGCCGGAAGACCAAGGGUUCCUGUCCAACGUUAAUCGGGGCAGGGUGAGUCGACCCCUAAGGCGAGGCCGAAAGGCGUAGUCGAUGGGAAACGGGUUAAUAUUCCCGUACUUGGUGUUACUGCGAAGGGGGGACGGAGAAGGCUAUGUUGGCCGGGCGACGGUUGUCCCGGUUUAAGCGUGUAGGUGUGUGUUCCAGGUAAAUCCGGUUCACUUUAACACUGAGGCGUGAUGACGAGGCACUACGGUGCUGAAGCAACAAAUGCCCUGCUUCCAGGAAAAGCCUCUAAGCAUCAGGUAACAUCAAAUCGUACCCCAAACCGACACAGGUGGUCAGGUAGAGAAUACCAAGGCGCUUGAGAGAACUCGGGUGAAGGAACUAGGCAAAAUGGUGCCGUAACUUCGGGAGAAGGCACGCUGACACGUAGGUGAAGUGAUUUACUCAUGGAGCUGAAGUCAGUCGAAGAUACCAGCUGGCUGCAACUGUUUAUUAAAAACACAGCACUGUGCAAACACGAAAGUGGACGUAUACGGUGUGACGCCUGCCCGGUGCCGGAAGGUUAAUUGAUGGGGUCAGCGCAAGCGAAGCUCCUGAUCGAAGCCCCGGUAAACGGCGGCCGUAACUAUAACGGUCCUAAGGUAGCGAAAUUCCUUGUCGGGUAAGUUCCGACCUGCACGAAUGGCGUAAUGAUGGCCAGGCUGUCUCCACCCGAGACUCAGUGAAAUUGAACUCGCUGUGAAGAUGCAGUGUACCCGCGGCAAGACGGAAAGACCCCGUGAACCUUUACUAUAGCUUGACACUGAACAUUGAGCCUUGAUGUGUAGGAUAGGUGGGAGGCUUUGAAGUGUGGACGCCAGUCUGCAUGGAGCCGACCUUGAAAUACCACCCUUUAAUGUUUGAUGUUCUAACGUGGACCCGUGAUCCGGGUUGCGGACAGUGUCUGGUGGGUAGUUUGACUGGGGCGGUCUCCUCCUAAAGAGUAACGGAGGAGCACGAAGGUUGGCUAAUCCUGGUCGGACAUCAGGAGGUUAGUGCAAUGGCAUAAGCCAGCUUGACUGCGAGCGUGACGGCGCGAGCAGGUGCGAAAGCAGGUCAUAGUGAUCCGGUGGUUCUGAAUGGAAGGGCCAUCGCUCAACGGAUAAAAGGUACUCCGGGGAUAACAGGCUGAUACCGCCCAAGAGUUCAUAUCGACGGCGGUGUUUGGCACCUCGAUGUCGGCUCAUCACAUCCUGGGGCUGAAGUAGGUCCCAAGGGUAUGGCUGUUCGCCAUUUAAAGUGGUACGCGAGCUGGGUUUAGAACGUCGUGAGACAGUUCGGUCCCUAUCUGCCGUGGGCGCUGGAGAACUGAGGGGGGCUGCUCCUAGUACGAGAGGACCGGAGUGGACGCAUCACUGGUGUUCGGGUUGUCAUGCCAAUGGCACUGCCCGGUAGCUAAAUGCGGAAGAGAUAAGUGCUGAAAGCAUCUAAGCACGAAACUUGCCCCGAGAUGAGUUCUCCCUGAGACUUAGAGUCUCCUGAAGGAACGUUGAAGACGACGACGUUGAUAGGCCGGGUGUGUAAGCGCAGCGAUGCGUUGAGCUAACCGGUACUAAUGAACCGUGAGGCUUAACCUU